rnacentral:rRNA from 1 species
AUGGUCGAUGAGAUGUUUUUAUCAAAUGUAGCAGCUUUAGCAGAAAAAAGAGCAGAGCCAGAAGUUGUUGUAGGUGUCAAAAGGACAGCUGUCGAGGAAGAAAAUUUUAGGAUAAUAAAUGAGGCUAAUGACUUUCUUGCUACAUUUGAGAGUCCAAUGAAGAUUAAGAAAAGUAUAGCAAGUAGAGUUAUAGCUAAAAAAAGAAAAGUACCUCUUGCAGCUCCAGUUUCAGCAAUACAUCUUCAGGUGCAGCUCUACCAACUCCAAGUGCAUGUGCUCCUCCACCAACUCCAGGUGCAGCCCAAGGUGCAUCUUCUUCACUUCCAGGCGCAUCGUCUUCAGCUCCAAUAG